rnacentral:rRNA from 1 species
AUUGAACGCUGGCGGCAGGCUUAACACAUGCAAGUCGAGCGGGGGAGGAUAGCUUGCUAUCUAACCUAGCGGCGGACGGGUGAGUAAUGCUUAGGAAUCUGCCUAUUAGUGGGGGACAACAUUCCGAAAGGGAUGCUAAUACCGCAUACGCCCUACGGGGGAAAGCAGGGGAUCGUAAGACCUUGCGCUAAUAGAUGAGCCUAAGUCGGAUUAGCUAGUUGGUGGGAUAAAGGCCUACAAAGGCGACGAUCUGUAGCGGGUCUGAGAGGAUGGUCCGCCACACAGGGACUGAGACACGGCCCAGACUCCUACGGGAGGCAGCAGUGGGGAAUAUUGGACAAUGGGGGGAACCCUGAUCCAGCCAUGCCGCGUGUGUGAAGAAGGCCUUUUGGUUGUAAAGCACUUUAAGCGAGGAGGAGGCUUACUUAGUUAAUACCUAGGAUAAGUGGACGUUACUCGCAGAAUAAGCACCGGCUAACUCUGUGCCAGCAGCCGCCGUAACAC